GAGGGGGGCUGCUCCUAGUACGAGAGGACCGGAGUGGACGCAUCACUGGUGUUCGGGUUGUCAUGCCAAUGGCACUGCCCGGUAGCUAAAUGCGGAAAAGAUAAGCGCUGAAAGCAUCUAAGCGCGAAACUUGCCCCGAGAUGAGUUCUCCCUGAGCCUUUAAGGCUCCUGAAGGAACGUUGAAGACGACGACGUUGAUAGGCUGGGUGUGUAAGUGCAGCGAUGCAUUGAGCUAACCAGUACUAAUGAUCCGUGAGGCUUAACCUUACAACACCGAAGGUGUUU
rnacentral:rRNA from 1 species